rnacentral:rRNA from 1 species
UACGUAGGGUGCGAGCGUUGUCCGGAAUUAUUGGGCGUAAAGAGCUUGUAGGCGGUUUGUCGCGUCUGCCGUGAAAAUCCGGGGCUCAACCCCGGACUUGCGGUGGGUACGGGCAGACUGGAGUGUGGUAGGGGAGACUGGAAUUCCUGGUGUAGCGGUGAAAUGCGCAGAUAUCAGGAGGAACACCGAUGGCGAAGGCAGGUCUCUGGGCCACUACUGACGCUGAGAAGCGAAAGCGUGGGGAGCGAACAGG